rnacentral:rRNA from 1 species
GCGCACCAGGCGAGAAACCUCCGCAAUGCGGGAAACCGCGACGGGGGGACCCCGAGUGCCGUGGCAACGCCACGGCUUUUCCGGAGUGUAAAAAGCUCCGGGAAUAAGGGCUGGGCAAGGCCGGUGGCAGCCGCCGCGGUAAUACCGGCGGCCCGAGUGGUGGCCGCUAUUAUUGGGCCUAAAGCGUCCGUAGCCGGGCCCGUAAGUCCCUGGCGAAAUCCCACGGCUCAACCGUGGGGCUUGCUGGGGAUACUGCGGGUCUUGGGACCGGGAGAGGCGGGGGGUACCCCUGGGGUAGGGGUGAAAUCCUAUAAUCCCAGGGGGACCGCCAGUGGCGAAGGCGCCCCGCUGGAACGGGUCCGACGGUGAGGGACGAAGGCCAGGGGAGCAAAACCGGAUUAGAUACCCGCGUAGU